GAUGUCAUUAUGAGUCAGAGUUAGGCAUUAAGAGAAACACCUAAGCAAAACAGAAUAAUGAAUCAUGGGAACAAAAUCAUGAGUGAAAACACAAGCCCAUGAUUUUUAAUCCAGUCCAUCAUAGGGUGACUUCUGCAAGUCCUUUCAUCAUUCUGAGCCUGACUGUCCUCAAGUCCUUCCUCCUUGACUGCUUCCAACACCAAGGAAUGCACAGCCACCACUUGGAGCAGUUCGAGAUCUUACUGACUCACGCUCAAUCUACAAUCUUAUUUUCCUAACAAAUCUCAAGAGUUCCAGAGGCAAAAAAGGCAUCACAGGUAGGCAAAGCAACUGGGUGGAGAUGAGGGCGUCCUGGAAAGUGCAUGCUCU
rnacentral:lncRNA from 12 species